CCUACGGGCGGCUGCAGUGGGGAAUAUUGGACAAUGGGGGGAACCCUGAUCCAGCCAUGCCGCGUGUGUGAAGAAGGCCCUCGGGUUGUAAAGCACUUUCAGUGAGCAAGAACGCCUGGUGGUUAAUACCCAUCAGGAAAGACAUCACUCACAGAAGAAGCACCGGCUAACUCCGUGCCAGCAGCCGCGGUAAUACGGAGGGUGCGAGCGUUAAUCGGAAUUACUGGGCGUAAAGCGCGCGUAGGUGGCUUGAUAAGCCGGUUGUGAAAGCCCCGGGCUCAACCUGGGAACGGCAUCCGGAACUGUCAAGCUAGAGUGCAGGAGAGGAAGGUAGAAUUCCCGGUGUAGCGGUGAAAUGCGUAGAGAUCGGGAGGAAUACCAGUGGCGAAGGCGGCCUUCUGGACUGACACUGACACUGAGGUGCGAAAGCGUGGGUAGCAAACAGGAUUAGAUACCCUAGUAGUC
rnacentral:rRNA from 1 species